ACGCGCGGAACCUUACCAGGUCUUGACAUCCUCUGACACUCCUAGAGAUAGGACGUUCCCCUUCGGGGGACAGAGUGACAGGUGGUGCAUGGUUGUCGUCAGCUCGUGUCGUGAGAUGUUGGGUUAAGUCCCGCAACGAGCGCAACCCUUGAUCUUAGUUGCCAGCAUUUAGUUGGGCACUCUAAGGUGACUGCCGGUGACAAACCGGAGGAAGGUGGGGAUGACGUCAAAUCAUCAUGCCCCUUAUGACCUGGGCUACACACGUGCUACAAUGGAUGGUACAAAGGGCAGCAAAGCGGUGACGCCUAGCAAAUCCCAUAAAACCAUUCUCAGUUCGGAUUGUAGGCUGCAACUCGCCUACAUGAAGCUGGAAUCGCUAGUAAUCGCGGAUCAGCAUGCCGCGGUGAAUACGUUCCCGGGCCUUGCACACACCGCCCGU
rnacentral:rRNA from 1 species